rnacentral:rRNA from 1 species
GAUCAACGCUGGCGGCGUGCCUAACGCAUGUAAGUCGUGCGGGCUGCCUUCGGGCAGCCAGCGGCGAACGGCUGAGGAACACGUACGAACCUGCCCGCGCGUGGGGAAUAACGCGCCGAAAGGCGUGCUAAUACCGCAUGUGACCGUUCAUUCUAUUUGGAACGAUACAAAGCAGUAAUGCGUCGUUUGGGGACGGGGCCUGCGUCCGAUUAGCUCGUUGGGUGGGUAAUGGCUCACCGAGGCGACGAUCGGUAGGUGGUCUGAGA